AACCCAUGUUGAGGACAUUUCCAUAGGAGCUCGUUGAACAUAUCCCAUGUCUCAAAAAGAGACUCCAAUUCUGCUUGCACAAAAGAAGAUAUCUCAUUCCUAAGCUU